UUACCAUGCAGUCGAACGAUGAUGCCCAGCUUGCUGGGCGGAUUAGUGGCGAACGGGUGAGUAAUACGUGAGUAACCUGCCCUUGACUCUGGGAUAAGCCUGGGAAACUGGGUCUAAUACUGGAUACUACUYCUCACCGCAUGGUGGGUGGUGGAAAGGGUUUUACUGGUUUUGGAUGGGCUCACGGCCUAUCAGCUUGUUGGUGGGGUAAUGGCUCACCAAGGCGACGACGGGUAGCCGGCCUGAGAGGGUGACCGGCCACACUGGGACUGAGACACGGCCCAGACUCCUACGGGAGGCAGCAGUGGGGAAUAUUGCACAAUGGGCGGAAGCCUGAUGCAGCGACGCCGCGUGAGGGAUGACGGCCUUCGGGUUGUAAACCUCUUUCAGUAGGGAAGAAGCGAGAGUGACGGUACCUGCAGAAGAAGCGCCGGCUAACUACGUGCCAGCAGCCGCGGUAAUACGUAGGGCGCAAGCGUUGUCCGGAAUUAUUGGGCGUAAAGAGCUCGUAGGCGGUUUGUCGCGUCUGCUGUGAAAGCCCGGGGCUCAACCCCGGGUCUGCAGUGGGUACGGGCAGACUAGAGUGCAGUAGGGGAGACUGGAAUUCCUGGUGUAGCGGUGAAAUGCGCAGAUAUCAGGAGGAACACCGAUGGCGAAGGCAGGUCUCUGGGCUGUUACUGACGCUGAGGAGCGAAAGCAUGGGGAGCGAACAGGAUUAGAUACCCUGGUAGUCCCAUGCCGUAACGUUGGGCACUAGGUGUGGGGGACAUUCCACGUUUUCCGCGCCGUAGCUAACGCAUUAAGUGCCCCGCUGGGGAAGUACGGCGCAGCUAAAACUCAAAGGAAGUUGACGGGAGGGGCCCCGC
rnacentral:rRNA from 1 species